rnacentral:rRNA from 1 species
CCUACGGGUGGCAGCAGUGAGGAAUAUUGGUCAAUGGGCGCGAGCCUGAACCAGCCAAGUCGCGUGAAGGAUGACUGCCCUACGGGUUGUAAACUUCUUUUAUAAAGGCAUAAAGUGAGGCACGUGUGCCUUUUUGUACGUACUUUAUGAAUAAGGAUCGGCUAACUCCGUGCCAGCAGCCGCAGUAAUACGGAGGAUCCAAGCGUUAUCCGGAUUUAUUGGUUUUAAAGGGAGCGUAGGUGGGUUGUUAAGUAAGUUGUGAAAGUUUGCGGCUCAACCGUAAAAUUGCAAUUGAUACUGGCAGCCUUGAGUACAGUUGAGGUAGGCGGAAUGCGUGGUGUAGCGGUGAAAUGCUUAGAUAUCACGCAGAACUCCGAUUGCGAAGGCAGCCUACUAAACUGCCACUGACGCUGAUGCACGAAAGUGUGGGUAUCAAACAGGAUUAGAUACCCCGGUAGUC